rnacentral:lncRNA from 1 species
GACAGUGCGCAGGUAUAUUUGAUUUUUUGCUACUCUGUGAGAACGCAUGUAGUACAGUAUAUUUAUUUCUGGACCAUUCACGAUUUCGUUGCAUCAUUUAUGGAAACCAUUGAGACGACGCUGAAUUUCUUAAGACACAAUAUAUACGCUCACAGGGUACAGCAAGGUAUGGUGCGGCAAACUUGCUCUGAAGCUCUGCAGGUUUGACGCGGAGACUAUCUCCGAGGCCAGAUCUUGAGGGCGGACCGACCGACCACUGGUAGCCACGGCAUGGGAUGACGGGAAUAAAGUGGAUUUUCAAUCUCACGAUGGUUCCCUGGAUCGUCUUCAUAUAUUUAUGAGAUCUCUAUAUUGAAUGGGUUCUUUCCUAGGAUAGUGCCGAGAUGGAAGCAUCGACCGUGCAAGACGUCAAAAACUCAUCUUCAGUUUUGGUACUAUAUUUGAGUGAUUCGUGAUCUUGCGUUUUCAUACAUGAUUCAUUUCUCAUUGUAUAUUAUCAUAUAUAGUUUUAUAUCUUGCAGGAGUGCACGGGUAAGAGGUAAGGGUGAUAAUAAGAACAAAAAGGGGAGGAAUGGACCAGAAAGCGGAGAAGAAAAAAGGUACAAGCUCCACAAACCGGUUCAUGUCACAUUCUGUUCAGGGAUUACAACUGAAAGUCUGAAACGACUAAUCAUUUAUAUCAUAAUUACACACAGGCCGGGCAAGAAAUUUUCUCGGCCUUCAAUAUGAAAACCUGAGAACAAGUCCAAGACAUAAAAAAAG